rnacentral:rRNA from 1 species
AUUGAACGCUGGCGGCAUGCCUUACACAUGCAAGUCGAACGGUAACAGGUCUUCGGAUGCUGACGAGUGGCGAACGGGUGAGUAAUACAUCGGAACGUGCCUAGUAGUGGGGGAUAACUACUCGAAAGGGUGGCUAAUACCGCAUGAGAUCUACGGAUGAAAGCAGGGGAUCGCAAGACCUUGUGCUACUAGAGCGGCCGAUGGCAGAUUAGAUAGUUGGUGGGAUAAAAGCUUACCAAGCCGACGAUCUGUAGCUGGUCUGAGAGGACGAUCAGCCCGACUGGGACCGGGACACGGCCCAGACUCCUACGGGAGGCAGCAGUGGGGAAUUUUGGACAAUGGGCGCAAGCCUGAUUCAGAAAUGCCGCGUGCAGGAUGAAGGCCUUCGGGCUGUAAACUGCUUUUGUACGGAACGAAAAGCCCUGGGUUAAUACCCUGGGGUCAUGACGGUACCGUAAGAAUAAGCACCGGCUAACUACGUGCCAGCCGCCGCGGUAAUAC